UCACCACAUGGUAGGGAGAUUUUAGUAUUUUGAUUGUAAAUUUCAUCUUGAGAGCUACAUGUUAUCUCAUUGGACAGGGGAUACAUGGCUCCUGAAUAUGCAAUCCAUGGGCAAUUAUCCGAGAAGGUCGACACAUACAGCUAUGGGAUGGUUGUGCUGGAAAUUGUAAGCAGUCGGAGGAGUAAUGACAUAAAGAUCGAACCCAUCAUUCAAUAUCUUCUCGAAUGGUGUGACUUGCAUCCUAAUAUGGGCCACGUAUAAUCAGAAUCCUUUCUGUCCUCAGUGCAAGCAUCCGUUUCAGUUUCUCAGUGUUCAUCGAUCACCAGAUGGAAGCUCCCAUUGAAUCAGGAUAUCAUGGGGAAAGCGAGGGAUAGGGUGAGGAGUUGCUACCAUAAGGAUUUCGUCAUCGAUGAAGAUAGCCAGUGGAUGCUUCAGGGGUGGAAGGGGCGGAUCAUUUAUGCACUUUCCACGUGGAAACCAGACCAUGAUAGCUUUUGAGUAUCAGAAAGCUUGCUUCUAGUUGUGUACUUGAAAUGGGAACGCUCUUCCUGCUUCUCUGGUCCUAUGGCCGCUCGGAACAAAAUCAA